UACGAACUGUGCGAACGUUAUUCGGAAUCACUGGGCUUACAGGGUGCGUAGGCGGCUCAACAAGUCAGGUGUGAAAGCCCCCGGCUCAACCGGGGAACUGCGCUUGAAACUGUUAGGCUCGAGUCAGCUAGAGGUACACGGAACUUCCAGUGGAGCGGUGAAAUGUGUUGAUAUUGGAAGGAACACCGGAGGCGAAAGCGGUGUACUGGGCUGGGUCUGACGCUGAGGCACGAAAGCCAGGGGAGCAAACGGG
rnacentral:rRNA from 1 species